AAAGUCGUAACAAGGUCUCCGUAGGUGAACCUGCGGAGGGAUCAUUACCGAAUGGCUUCGGCCUUCAACCCUCAAACCCGUGGAAGCAAUCCGUGCUUCGGCGCUCCGGCGCCGCAUUUAUGCAAGACACAAGUCUUUUAUGUCUGAACAUGAGAAGAAUCAAAACUUUCAACAAAGGAUCUCUUGGCUCUC
rnacentral:misc_RNA from 1 species